GAUGAACGCUGGCGGCGUGCCUAAUACAUGCAAGUCGAGCGAACGGACGAGAAGCUUGCUUCUCUGAUGUUAGCGGCGGACGGGUGAGUAACACGUGGAUAACCUACCUAUAAGACUGGGAUAACUUCGGGAAACCGUAGCUAAUACCGGAUAAUAUUUUGAACCGCAUGGUUCAAAAGUGAAAGACGGUCUUGCUGUCACUUAUAGAUGGAUCCGCGCUGCAUUAGCUAGUUGGUAAGGUAACGGCUUACCAAGGCAACGAUGCAUAGCCGACCUGAGAGGGUGAUCGGCCACACUGGAACUGAGACACGGUCCAGACUCCUACGUGAGGCAGCAGUAGGGAAUCUUCCGCAAUGGGCGAAAGCCUGACGGGGCAACGCCGCGUGAGUGAUGAAGGUCUUCGGAUCGUAAAACUCUGUUAUUAGGGAAGAACAUAUGUGUAAGUAACUGUGCACAUCUUGACGGUACCUAAUCAGAAAGCCACGGCUAACUACGUG
rnacentral:rRNA from 1 species